GUGGGUCUGUGUCUGUUUCAUAGAUAAGUUCAUUUGCGUCAUAUUUUGUCAUAUAUUAGAUUUGAGAAUUUUUCUAUUUAACCAAAGGGGGCAUGAAUUUAAGCAGGUUAAAAUGCAUGGGAUCAGGAAGUGAGCACUAUGGACACUACUAGGAGACAUUAUCUGUAUUACCAAGGGCUUUUCAUGAAAUAGAACCAACACACACACAUGUAUGGAGACAGAGAGAGAGAUGGAGAGAGAGGUUUGAUUUAUCAGGAGGAAUGUAAUUAUGGAGGCUUAGAAAUCCUAAGAUCUGUUGUAUGCAAGCUGGAGACACGGGUAAGUCAGUGGUAUAAUUCAGAGUCCAAAGACCUGAGAACCAGGGAAGCCAAUGAUCUAAGUCUCAGUCCAAGGGUGGGAGAAGAUUGGUGCCCCAGCUCAGACAGGCAGAGAGCAAAUUCUCCCUUCCUCCACUUUUUUCUUUUGUUUGGGCCCUCAGCAGAUUGGACAAUUCCCACCCACCCCAAGGAGGGCCAUCUGCUUUACUCAGUCUAACUCAAAUGCUAACUUCUUCUGGAAACACCCUCACAGACUCCUCCCAAGGUGAUUUUUAGUCAAAUAGCUGGGCACGUGUGAUCCCAUCAAGUUGACACAUAAACUUAAGCAUCACAUUAUCCAAUACCCUGAAAGUUACAGGAAUGCUAACAACCACAUACAAAGAGGAGUCAACUGCCCUCUUUGUCAGCUUCAACUCAUCUAGCAAAAGGGGCCAGUGUGUUCUCAGGGAUCCUACCUCAAGUCAAGUUGCAAGGUGUCACAAGCAGUUUGGUGACAGUGUCAUCUCUUUCUAAAGUGCAAGCAAGAUCCACAGGGGUAGGGAGAAAGGGAGACACAUGCUGUAAACCAAGGCCAGGGUGACGUGCCUUGUCUGGCUAUGUUUUCCUUCAGGGUCACUUGGCCUAGAGUGCAGUCAAGUUCAGGUGAUUUGAGGAAAAGCUCCUCCAUUCCACAUGACUGCUAAUUGCCCAAGAAGCAAAGCACAACGGAAAUAGCAGGCAGAUAUGACUCCAAAUGUUGGUGAUGACUGUAUUUAACCUUUCCUAAAGGAACAUUAAAAAGGCUUUAAUGCUUUGGUAGGGGGAAUCCCGAUGUGUGAAAAAAGAAACAGACAUUUGCUGACAAGAGUCUCUUUCCACCUGAAGGAACCGUGCCAGAAUCAAUUUCUAAUAGGAGUGAAGGCUAAUGAGAGUGCAUUGUCAAUUGCAGGCACAUUCUGCCUUCUCUUCUACAUCUCUAAAGGCUCCUCUGGACAGACCGUAAAUUACCCUGACCUUAAAGAAAAUGUUCACACUAAGGCUUUGGUUUUUAUGAACAUUCCACCUGGACGGUCUGACCCAGCUUUAGAUAUAAUAAGAAAGAAGCCAAGAACCAGCUGAGCCACACAGAGCCAAGGCUCAGGCCUGGCUCGAUGAUGAUUCAGGCCUUGCCACCCAUAUAUCUAAGAAAAGAGCAUUAUUUCCAUAAAUGAUAACCAAACCCAGGGCUGAUUUGGAAUAGCUACUUGCUAUCCCAAAUUGGCUUUGGCUGUCAUUAAAAUUACAGUGACAUUUAGGGAUUUCUUACAGGUUGCAGAAAGCUAUGGUUGAGAGCAUCAUAUCAUCUUUUGUUUGUGGCCAGGAUACUGGCUAUUGUACUAGGCAGCAUUCUUGACUGAAAAUGUAGACACCAACUCUAGGUCUGUACCAGAUGCAUUUUAGGAUCCCACCAAGUAUCCGUGUGUGUGGCACAGCGCCAUGAGCACUAUAGGCAUCACGGUCCCGCAUCCUGUCUGUUGGCAAUGCUGCACUUCAUCCCCCUGGGCAUGCCCUCUAUGCUCCUGACUCUACUGAGUUAUCACCAGCUGACUAGUCUCUCAAGAUUCAGCUUGGACAGCAGCACCUUACAGUUUGUACUGAGGCCACAUGGCCAUGUUCAAGCUCAAGCUGCCAGGGGAUGGGGAAGUUCUCCACACAGAAAGGGGAUCCAGUGCAGCCAAGCAAUCAUGCUCACUGAAGGUAAAUUAGUAAAAAAUAAAAAAAGCUACUCUCAUGCAAUAUCCAACUAUAUACAUAUAUGCGUAUAUAUAUAUUAUGUAUGUGUACAUAUAUUAUGUAUAUAUAUUCACACCACAUAUUAGUGUGUAUUUUUUCCUGGAGAUCAAUCAAUAAUAUCUAUAGACAGUAGGUUUGGGUAUCCUUGCGAAGACCUAAAGCAGCCUUUACAUGGGAUUUGCCCUGGUUCCUCUUUGAGACUGCCAGGCCCCAGUGAUUUGCACCAGUUUCCUGCCCUACACACCUCAGUCCCAUCCUCCAGCUUACUUCUUCUUGGCCCUUUUAUUAAACAUUUGCUUCUGAGCUACAAUAUAGAGAUACAACAUAGAAAGAGGAGAAGGGAACUAACAUUUGCUGAGUGCUUUUUUUAUCAUCAAGUAUUCUGGGUCCUCGUUAGGUCAACUUUACCCUUGUAACAGGUGGAGCUGUUCCUUACAACACCCAUGUGGCUUUGAGACCCAGCUCUUUCACAUAUUGUGAUCUUGAGCAAGUUAUUUAACCUCUGUCACCACCAGAUUUCUCAUUUGUAAAUGGAAGUACUUUCAGGACUGUUGGAUGAAGUGCCUCACUCUGUGACAUGUGGCCAAUGGUUGUUACUACUCAUUAGCUGCAAUCUGGCCCAUUUUUAAGUGUUACCUCCUCCAAGAAGCCUUCUUCAGUCUCCCAAGGCAGACGGAAUCCCACCUUCCUCCUUUUAACUUUGUCUUUCACCUCCUUCGUGGAGCUCAGCACAGGCAGUGAAGGCUAUUAGAGAGCAGGAAUCUUCACCGUAUCCCCAGCAGACCUAACAAUGCCUUGCACACAGUAGGUCUUCUAUAAAGUGCCAUCGAAUUGAAAUGUCAAACUAAAUUCUCCAUGGCCAAUGAUUGUGAAGCAAACUAAAUGUGCUGCUUAGUUGUCUAAAUUGCACUUUCUCAACAAAAAAGGAGAGGUUUUGCACUUAAGACAGAUUCACACAAGCAAAGUUUGGAUUCUGCAUUUAGCGUAUUAUACAAAAUCAUGAUGAAAUAACUCUUAAACACCUCCUUAGGAAAGAACCAUGCUGGAAACAGACAUGAGGACUUGCCAUAAAUCUAACACAGCCAUUUUCCACUUUGAUUCCUGAUUGCUGGGUUAAGUAUCCACAGAUGGAUUGCAUUUAAGGACAGGUGAUAGGAAAAUCAUCUGUUUUCAAACCCCAGCAUCUCAUCCAGUGAGAGAAUAGGAUCUCAUCACAGGAGGUAAAAAGGAGCUGAGGUGUUUGAAAGGAACAGCAGAUUUACUUCUAUGUUGUGUUCAUUCCAAGAGGAGAGAGGUAAUGAAGUUGAGACCCAGAGAAUCACUCUACAAGACAACCCUGAGUCAAAGAAGCCUCCAGAACCUGUUGGUCAUGACUUAUCACUGGUGGUCUUAGCACCAUAUAUGUGAAGAGCUGGAUAUAGAAUGUCCAAUGUAUGGACCGCUAUGGAGGUCACUAAAUGACAAGCUCCCAAAACUCUACUGCCAUAUUUACAAUUGUCCAGCGAUUCCCCCUCCAUUUCAUUCAAAGCUCAUUUUAAACUCUGCCUCCUCUAAAUAUGUUUAUUAAAGAGAUAUGCAGUUAAUGCAAUUUUUUUCUUCUUUUUUGGCCAUUCUGCUGUAUAUGGAGUUCCAGGGCCCGGGAUCAGAUCUACACCACAGUGCUGUGGCAAUGCCAGAUCCUUCAAUCCACCAUGCUGGGCCAGGGAUCAAACCUGUGUCCUGGUGCUAGAGAUGCCACGAUCCCAUUGUGCUGCAGUGGGAAAUCCUCAGUGCAAAUUUUAAGAAGGUAAAAUUGUACUCAUGUCAAAAACAUGAGUGACAAUCUGGAUAUCUACACUUUCAGGUAAACAAAAGUGAAUACUCCUUCUAGGUUGAAUCCCACAGCAAACUCCUGUGGAGCAAAGUUAACAAAUUUUAAAUUCCUAGAAGUUAAUCAUAUGAAGUGCAUAGCACAUUGUAGUCGAUCAAAGCUGUUGCAGUCAGUCAAAGGUUUGCCUCUAAGCGUCAGGCAACCAUAAGCUUCAUUCUUCUUGGUAGACAAGUCAGUGGUUCUCCAACUCAGUUUAGUCUCGCCAUGGUCAGUAUGUGAUUAUGUGGUCAAAACUCUCACUUUCAUUCACUUCAUGCAGAAAUCCAGCUGAGAACCUUAACAUUUCCUUUAAUAGGGAAAGUAGCUGACAUGCAAUGAUGAAUCAGUAAUAGAGCAUGAAGAUUACCCUACUUAACAUUCUUCAAUGGUUCCCUAGAGCCUUCAGGAUAAAGUCCAGACUUCUUAAACUGGCAAUCAUGGGCUUUCACGGGCUGAGCUUCAUCUAUCUUUCCAGCCCCAUUUCUCAGUCCUCCCCCUUUUUAGUCUCUGGCCCAAACAUGUUAAACUACUUUCAGUUCUCUGGGAAAAUCGAACUCUCAAUUCCCUCCACUUAAAAUGCCCUGCAUGUACCCUCCUGACUAGCUCCCACUCAUACUGCCAGGGCCCAUGCAGUGGCACACAUCCAUUCAGAAUGUUAUCAUGAGCUAAUUCAUGUCAACUACACCCCAGAUACAGGGACAAUCAAUCCACUUUCAGUGGGACAUCAACAUUUGCCUUUUCACCACUAAACUUUUGGUAAGUGUCUUUGUCAUCCAAUCAUUUCUUAAUCCCUGCAAACCUGCUUCCCCUAGCAUUACUCAACUGAAAAAAAGAAAAAAUUCAAGGUUACUAUUGUCCUCAUAAUCAUUUCAUUCGUUGGCAAUGGUUUUUUUUUCUCCCCCCAAAUACUAUGUUUUCUUAAGUUCUCUAAAGCCAUCUAGACUGCUAGUCACUCUAUGUUCACCAUCUCUUUCCUUUUGUGGCAUACAGUUUCCCUAGUUGUCUCAUUCUAAUUGUUCCUUUUCUGUGUCAUUUACUGGCUUCAAUUCUUCCUUUAAUUAAAGAUAUUUCUCUAAGUUCACUAGAUUCAAAACAUUAGCAUUAGGGAGCCUCCAAAUCACUUAACUCAUAAAACAAACUCAAAUUAUUUGUAUGUCCUAUUGAUUCUAGCUUCUUAGUGAAAAAGGAAGAACCCAGGGUCCAAUAAAAAGAGCAUUCAUUCUAGAGAUAAGCUUGGGUUCAGAUCUCAAGUAUGUCAUCAACUCUUGAGCACUGUGGCAUGGAAUAUAGCACUUAACCCAUUUGGGCAUCAGUUUCUCAUCUGUAAGUUGAA